rnacentral:RNase_P_RNA from 2 species
AUGUUUAGGUAAUCGCUGCAUGUUUUCAUGUAGAGGAAAGUCCAUGCUCGCACAAGCUGAGAUGCUUGUAGUGUUCGUGCCUAGCGAAUUCAUAAGCUAGGGUAGUUCAGGUUUCCUGAGCUAACGGCAGGAUAAAUUCCUAAGUCUUCGGAUAUGGAAUGAAGUCCUUGAAAGUGCCACAGUGACGUAGUCUGGAUGGAAACAUUCAGAGUGGAACGCGGUAAACCCCUCGAGCGAGAAACCCAAAAUAUGGUAGGGGCAUUUUCUUUUUUGGAAAUGAACGAAAAAGAAAAACGAGGUAACUCGUAGAUAGAUGAUUACUGCCUGAGUACGAGGUUCAUCACCGUUUGCAGUACAAAGGAACAGAACAUGGCUUAUCAAA